rnacentral:rRNA from 1 species
GACGGAGGAUGCAAGCGUUAUCAGGAAUCAUUGGGCGUAAAGCGUACGUAGGCGGCUUAUCAAGUCUGGGGUCAAAGACCACAGCUUAACUGUGGAAAGGCCUUGGAAACUAGUGAGCUGGAGUGAGGUAGGGGUUGCGGGAAUUCCCGGUGUAGCGGUGAAAUGCGUAGAUAUCGGGAAGAACACCUGAGGCGAAAGCGCGCGACUGGGUCUUAACUGACGCUGAGGUACGAAAGCUAGGGGAGCGAAUGGG